UACAGGGGUGGCAAGCGUUGUUCGGAAUUACUGGGCGUAAAGGGCGCGUAGGCGGCCUUCUAAGUCAGACGUGAAAUCCCCCGGCUUAACCUGGGAACUGCGUCUGAUACUGGAAGGCUUGAGGAUGGGAGAGGGAUGUAGAAUUCCAGGUGUAGCGGUGAAAUGCGUAGAUAUCUGGAGGAAUACCGGUGGCGAAGGCGGCAUCCUGGACCAUUACUGACGCUGAGGCGCGAAAGCUAGGGGAGCAAACGGG
rnacentral:rRNA from 1 species